GAUGAACGCUAGCGGCAGGCUUAACACAUGCAAGUCGAGGGGUAGAAGUUGCUUGCAACUUUGAGACCGGCGCACGGGUGCGUAACGCGUAUGCAAUCUACCUUAUACAGAGGGAUAGCCCAGAGAAAUUUGGAUUAAUACCUCAUAGUAUAAUUGAAUGGCAUCAUUUAAUUAUUAAAGUUCCAACGGUAUAAGAUGAGCAUGCGUCCUAUUAGCUAGAUGGUAAGGUAACGGCUUACCAUGGCAACGAUAGGUAGGGGUCCUGAGAGGGAGAUCCCCCACACUGGUACUGAGACACGGACCAGACUCCUACGGGAGGCAGCAGUGAGGAAUAUUGGACAAUGGGCGCAAGCCUGAUCCAGCCAUGCCGCGUGCAGGAAGAAGCAUCUAUGGUGUGUAAACUGCUUUUGUACGGGAAGAAACACCCCUUAGUGAAGGGACUUGACGGUACCGUAAGAAUAAGGAUCGGCUAACUCCGUGCCAGCCGCCGCGGUAACAC
rnacentral:rRNA from 1 species